rnacentral:rRNA from 1 species
GAUGAACGCUGGCGGCGUGCCUAAUACAUGCAAGUCGAGCGAACAGAUAAGGAGCUUGCUCCUUUGACGUUAGCGGCGGACGGGUGAGUAACACGUGGAUAACCUACCUAUAAGACUGGGAUAACUUCGGGAAACCGGAGCUAAUACCGGGUAAGAUUUUGAACCGCAUGGUUCAAUAGUGAAAGACGGCCUUGCUGUCACUUAUAGAUGGAUCCGCGCCGUAUUAGCUAGUUGGUAAGGUAACGGCUUACCAAGGCAACGAUACGUAGCCGACCUGAGAGGGUGAUAGGCCACACUGGAACUGAGACACGGUCCAGACUCCUACGGGAGGCAGCAGUAGGGAAUCUUCCGCAAUGGGCGAAAGCCUGACGGAGCAACGCCGCGUGAGUGAUGAAGGUCUUCGGAUCGUAAAACUCUGUUAUCAGGGAAGAACAAACGUGUAAGUAACUGUGCACGUCUUGACGGUACCUGAUCAGAAAGCCACGGCUAACUACGUG